rnacentral:lncRNA from 1 species
ACUUCAUACAAACCCUUGUGGAAUUUGGCAUGUGAACGGGUACACAUGGGUUCUUGGUUGAAGUGUGGUGUUAGGGACCACAGAAGGUGGAAAACAAAACAGUUAACGAUUUAAACACCACAGUUAUGAUCAUAACUCCAAUAUGAUCACAGAUACACGGAGGCGGGCGCGCGCGCGCACACACACACACACAGGUGUAUCAGAUUACUUUGUAGCUACCGUUAUUUUCUUGCAAUACGACUUGAGACGUUGAAGAAUUCCAGCUUUGCCGAGUGGACUCGGGUCGUCUUUGUGUUGUCCACUGUACCUUUGCUUUCCCAUUAAAUGUCAUUGUUAUGGAACUGAACUUUGUUUUCUUCGAAAGAUGAAAAUAAACCUGACCUGUCAUCGUCUCCGCUCGAGAAAGUCACUCUCGGAUUUAAAGCGUUAAAAUGUAUAGUACUUUUUUUUAUUUAAGUUUAUCCAAAUAUUUAGCACAAUUAAAAAUAUAAAUUGCUAGAGGCUCUAUGUUUUAGUUCAUUGUAACAAAAAUUAAAAAUGUUGAAUUGUCUCACGAAGAAAAAGCAACAAUUAACGUUACAGUGCUGGGUGUCGACAGUUUAGAUCAGACAGGGAGGGGCGUGUCGUGGUUCUUCUUGAAUGGGAAUUUUAACCCGUUCACUCAAUCAAUUUAUAUCCAAAAACGUGUAACAAGUGCCAUCCCACGGGUUAGUUAGUAAUGGCGAUUUCGUUGAGAGUAUCAUGAUUUAGAGAUGCAGACACAUUUAUUAAGGUCGAUUCACUAACAAUUACAGCCGAGUACAAAUAGCCACAGCGUAAGUUAGAGCGAACUCUAACUGUUAACCAUAGCUAGCUCAGUUUUUCCAUCCUUCAAAACAUCAUUCGUUCCAUCGAGAGCAGCCGAGUGCAUUCUCAGACCAACCAGGAGGUGACAGACCACAGUGUCCAGCUCCAGCCCAGCAGUAAUGGCUCCCCGUACCACUGGUGCUGCUUCUCCCAGCCCUCAGGUCAGAGAGAACCCCCCUCCCAGGCAGGGCAGGACUCGCCGGGCCCGUGGAGGAGGAGGAGGCGGCAACAGCCGCCGCAGCCUCCGCUUCAGUGUCAUGCUAAUGACGCCUGGAACGCAUUGCCGUGGCAGCGGAGGGGUACACCACCACCAAUACUCGCUCCACCAACGCAAAUGCUCCCUCUAUUGGGUCUUCCUCCACUCGUCCUGCCUCCACCACCCCAGCCACUGCUAGCAGUACGCCCUCUAACCCAGCCAAUCCACCCAGGGCACUCUCCACCACCACCUCCCAGAUCCGCAGUCGUACUCGCACAACCGGCACCCGUCGAUCUCUCAUCCGAGCCCGGACCAACCGCAGAAUGGGCCUGUAUCAUUGAGAGCCAUCUGUCCAGACGAGGCUCCCUCCGUGAGAGGGACAGAUAAGAGCACUAAGGAAUGAGAGACUCAGAUGGGGUUUCUGUUUGCUAUGUUGCCUACCUUGUUUUUGGUGACCUGUUCCUUGGUUUGUUUUAAUAAAUGCCACCUAUGAAUGUAGAUGGGUUUUGUUGACCGGCUAGCAUUGCUGGCUGCAUGUACAGUAUUAUCUGUGCCCAGUGACGUUUAUUUUUUGUGAAAUGUACAGAUUCAUUACCCUUAUAGUACAUUUAAUUUUCAUGUGGGUUCAAAGUGGUUCUACUCCAUUUCCUUUUCCUGAUGAUAUUUGAAUUGAUGGUGUUUUAUAUUGUUAGCUAAAAUCAGUGUUUCCCUUAGCCUAAUUAAUAAUUGCAGACUAUAUUCCUUAAUGGUUAAUGAUUUUGUUUGGUCCAGUGAAAGCACUGACUCUGUAUUUGCAGUAAUAAUAUGUAAUUCUAAGGCAUUGGUUAUUUGAUGCUGUGGCACCGGUUCUUUACAAAUUACAUUAGUGCUACUGUGCAAGCCAAGCACUGGCCCUCUAAUGGUAAUUGAGGUGAAUGCAGUGCUACAAGACUCUGACUCCUCUCUCAUGACUCCUCUCUCAUGUACAAACUGCUCUGCCCUCUCAUCAGGUUUGGUACCCAUUAUCUAACUAUACCUAUAAGGAUGGUAACAAUUGCUAAUGGACAACAGCACAUGGUUAUUUACUGAGCAAUAACAUUGCAAGAGAUUGGGGAAGGUACCACACUGAGGAAAAGGAUGGGAGAGCGCUUUUGUGUGGUGUAAUUUUUCUAGCUUAAUUUGUUAUGCAUCUGUCAAUGUCAUAAUGGGCGUCAAUAUGAUUUAUAAACCAAAGAAUUUGUAUAUUUACUACUAUUGCAUAUCAUAUACUUGAUUACUUUUGUUAUACGUUUACUUGUUCAUUUGUUUGUUCCUGACAUCAAAUAAAGAUUUGAAUUGAUUUUGUCAAUGAAUUUUUAAGUGUUGCACAUUCAGAGAUGGUGCCAACCAAGGUGUAGUGUUUUUUUCUUGCCACUAGAUGGUGAUAGUUUCUUUUUUAAUUUUAU